rnacentral:rRNA from 1 species
UACGUAGGGGGCGAGCGUUAUCCGGAAUUACUGGGUGUAAAGGGAGCGUAGACGGCAGGGUAAGCCUGGAGUGGAAGCCCGCGGCCCAACCGCGGAACUGCUUUGGGAACUGCCCGGCUGGAGUAUGGGAGGGGUAAGCGGAAUUCCUGGUGUAGCGGCGAAAUGCGUAGAUAUCAGGAGGAACACCGGUGGCGAAGGCGGCUUACUGGACCAUAACUGACGUUGAGGCUCGAAAGCGUGGGGAGCGAACA